GACGAACGCUGGCGGCGUGCUUAACACAUGCAAGUCGAACGGAAAGGCCCUGCUUUUGUGGGGUGCUCGAGUGGCGAACGGGUGAGUAACACGUGAGUAACCUGCCCUUGACUUUGGGAUAACUUCAGGAAACUGGGGCUAAUACCGGAUAGGAGCUCCUGCUGCAUGGUGGGGGUUGGAAAGUUUCGGCGGUUGGGGAUGGACUCGCGGCUUAUCAGCUUGUUGGUGGGGUAGUGGCUUACCAAGGCUUUGACGGGUAGCCGGCCUGAGAGGGUGACCGGCCACAUUGGGACUGAGAUACGGCACAGACUCCUACGGGAGGCAGCAGUGGGGAAUAGUGCACAAUGGGCGGAAGCCUGAUGCAGCAACGCCGCGUGCGGGAUGACGGCCUUCGGGUUGUAAACCGCUUUCGCCUGUGACGAAGCGUGAGUGACGGUAAUGGGUAAAGAAGCACAGGCUCACUACGUG
rnacentral:rRNA from 1 species